rnacentral:misc_RNA from 1 species
GAAAUGCGAUAAGUAAUGUGAAUUGCAGAAUUCAGUGAAUCAUCGAAUCUUUGAACGCACCUUGCGCUCCUUGGUAUUCCUUGGAGCAUGCCUGUUUGAGUAUCAUGAAAUCUUCAAAGUAAAUCUUUUGUUAACUCAAUUGGUUUCUACUUUGGUAUUGGAGGUCUUUGCAGCUUCACACCUGCUCCUCUUUGUUCAUUAGCUGGAUCUCAGUGUUAUGCUUGGUUCCACUCGGCGUGAUAAGUUAUCUAUCGCUGAGGACACUGUAAAAGGUGGCCAAGGUAAAUGCAGAUGAACCGCUGCGAAUAGUCCAUUGACUUGGACAAUACUUUUAUGAUCUGAUCUCAAAUCAGGUAGGACUACCCGCUGAACUUAAGC